GCCCGCCUAGCUCAAUCGGAUAGAGCGUCAGACUCUUAUGAUCGGGUGAUCUGAAGGCUGCGAGUUCGACCCUCGCGGUGGGCU
rnacentral:tRNA from 1 species